UUUAAUGUGGCAGAAAAGUGCUAUGGAUUUAAGCUCCAUCCAUAAAGGAAUACCCUUUCAUUAAAA
rnacentral:tRNA from 1 species